GCCUAAUACAUGCAAGUCGAACGAACUCUGGUAUUGAUUGGUGCUUGCAUCAUGAUUUACAUUUGAGUGAGUGGCGAACUGGUGAGUAACACGUGGGAAACCUGCCCAGAAGCGGGGGAUAACACCUGGAAACAGAUGCUAAUACCGCAUAACAACUUGGACCGCAUGGUCCGAGUUUGAAAGAUGGCUUCGGCUAUCACUUUUGGAUGGUCCCGCGGCGUAUUAGCUAGAUGGUGGGGUAACGGCUCACCAUGGCAAUGAUACGUAGCCGACCUGAGAGGGUAAUCGGCCACAUUGGGACUGAGACACGGCCCAAACUCCUACGGGAGGCAGCAGUAGGGAAUCUUCCACAAUGGACGAAAGUCUGAUGGAGCAACGCCGCGUGAGUGAAGAAGGGUUUCGGCUCGUAAAACUCUGUUGUUAAAGAAGAACAUAUCUGAGAGUAACUGUUCAGGUAUUGACGGUAUUUAACCAGAAAGCCACGGCUAACUACGUGCCAGCAGCCGCGGUAAUACGUAGGUGGCAAGCGUUGUCCGGAUUUAUUGGGCGUAAAGCGAGCGCAGGCGGUUUUUUAAGUCUGAUGUGAAAGCCUUCGGCUCAACCGAAGAAGUGCAUCGGAAACUGGGAAACUUGAGUGCAGAAGAGGACAGUGGAACUCCAUGUGUAGCGGUGAAAUGCGUAGAUAUAUGGAAGAACACCAGUGGCGAAGGCGGCUGUCUGGUCUGUAACUGACGCUGAGGCUCGAAAGUAUGGGUAGCAAACAGGAUUAGAUACCCUGGUAGUCCAUACCGUAAACGAUGAAUGCUAAGUGUUGGAGGGUUUCCGCCCUUCAGUGCUGCAGCUAACGCAUUAAGCAUUCCGCCUGGGGAGUACGGCCGCAAGGCUGAAACUCAAAGGAAUUGACGGGGGCCCGCACAAGCGGUGGAGCAUGUGGUUUAAUUCGAAGCUACGCGAAGAACCUUACCAGGUCUUGACAUACUAUGCAAAUCUAAGAGAUUAGACGUUCCCUUCGGGGACAUGGAUACAGGUGGUGCAUGGUUGUCGUCAGCUCGUGUCGUGAGAUGUUGGGUUAAGUCCCGCAACGAGCGCAACCCUUAUUAUCAGUUGCCAGCAUUAAGUUGGGCACUCUGGUGAGACUGCCGGUGACAAACCGGAGGAAGGUGGGGAUGACGUCAAAUCAUCAUGCCCCUUAUGACCUGGGCUACACACGUGCUACAAUGGAUGGUACAACGAGUUGCGAACUCGCGAGAGUAAGCUAAUCUCUUAAAGCCAUUCUCAGUUCGGAUUGUAGGCUGCAACUCGCCUACAUGAAGUCGGAAUCGCUAGUAAUCGCGGAUCAGCAUGCCGCGGUGAAUACGUUCCCGGGCCUUGUACACACCGCCCGUCACACCAUGAGAGUUUGUAACACCCAAAGUCGGUGGGGUAACC
rnacentral:rRNA from 2 species